UAUUGGCUGUGGUUGAGUGAAUUUCAGCAGUUGCACAUGAUUUCCAAAAGAGCAAUUUUCUGAGUUUUUGAGUAGGGCGUUGUUGUACGCUUAAAUAUAGUUACAAGGGAUUUUUUUCCUUGUGCAUUGAUGUCUCGAGUAAACUGUAAACUCUAUAAUUCAUAAGACUGGUGUCUCGAGUAAACUGUAGACUCAUUUCAUAAGAA
rnacentral:misc_RNA from 1 species